GACGAACGCUGGCGGCGUGCCUAAUACAUGCAAGUCGAGCGGACGAAUCGAAAGCUUGCUUUUGAUUCGUUAGCGGCGGACGGGUGAGUAACACGUGGGCAACCUGCCCUGUAGACGGGGAUAACACCGAGAAAUCGGUGCCAAUACCGGAUAACACGAAAUGUCGCAUGACGUUUCGUUGAAAGACGGCGCAAGCUGUCGCUACAGGAUGGGCCCGCGGCGCAUUAGCUAGUUGGUGAGGUAACGGCUCACCAAGGCGACGAUGCGUAGCCGACCUGAGAGGGGGAUCGGCCACACUGGGACUGAGAAACGGCCCAGACUCCUACGGGAGGCAGCAGUAGGGAAUCUUCCGCAAUGGACGAAAGUCUGACGGAGCAACGCCGCGUGAGCGAAGAAGGCCUUCGGGUCGUAAAGCUCUGUUGUUAGGGAAGAACAAGUAACGCAGUAACUGGCGUUACCGUGACGGUACCUAACGAGAAAGCCACGGCUAACUACGUGCCAGCCGCCGCGGUAA
rnacentral:rRNA from 1 species